AGUUUGAUCAUGGCUCAGAUUGAACGCUGGCGGCAUGCCUUACACAUGCAAGUCGAACGGCAGCACGGGAGCUUGCUCCUGGUGGCGAGUGGCGAACGGGUGAGUAAUACAUCGGAACGUACCCUGAAGUGGGGGAUAACGUAGCGAAAGUUACGCUAAUACCGCAUAUUCUGUGAGCAGGAAAGAGGGGGAUCGCAAGACCUCUUGCUUUAGGAGCGGCCGAUGUCGGAUUAGCUAGUUGGUGAGGUAAAGGCUCACCAAGGCGACGAUCCGUAGCGGGUCUGAGAGGAUGAUCCGCCACACUGGGACUGAGACACGGCCCCAGACUCCUACGGGAGGCAGCAGUGGGGAAUUUUGGACAAUGGGCGCAAGCCUGAUCCAGCCAUGCCGCGUGAGUGAAGAAGGCCUUCGGGUUGUAAAGCUCUUUCGGUGGGGAAGAAAUUGCUUCGGUUAAUACCUGGAGUAGAUGACGGUACCCGCAUAAGAAGCACCGGCUAACUACGUG
rnacentral:rRNA from 1 species